rnacentral:rRNA from 1 species
UACAGAGGGCCCGAGCGUUGUUCGGAUUCACUGGGCGUAAAGGGUGCGUAGGUGGUGGGGUAAGUCUGGUGUGAAAGCUCGCAGCUCAACUGCGAAACGGCACUGGAAACUACCCUGCUGGAGGGUUGGAGGGGGGACUGGAAUACUUGGUGUAGCAGUGAAAUGCGUAGAUAUCAAGUGGAACACCAGUGGCGAAGGCGAGUCCCUGGACAACUCCUGACACUGAGGCACGAAAGCCAGGGGAGCAAACAGG